rnacentral:rRNA from 1 species
AACGAACGCUGGCGGCAGGCCUAACACAUGCAAGUCGAACGGGAUCUUCGGAUCUAGUGGCGGACGGGUGAGUAACGCGUGGGAACGUGCCCUUUGCUUCGGAAUAGCCCCGGGAAACUGGGAGUAAUACCGGAUACGCCCUUUGGGGGAAAGAUUUAUCGCCUUUAGAGCGGCCCGCGUCUGAUUAGCUAGUUGGUGGUGUAACGGACCACCAAGGCGACGAUCAGCAGCUGGUCUGAGAGGAUGAUCAGCCACAUUGGGACUGAGACACGGCCCAAACUCCUACGGGAGGCAGCAGUGGGGAAUCUUGCGCAAUGGGCGAAAGCCUGACGCAGCCAUGCCGCGUGAAUGAUGAAGGUCUUAGGAUUGUAAAAUUCUUUCACCGGGGACGAUAAUGACGGUACCCGGAGAAGAAGCCCCGGCUAACUUCGUGCCAGCCGCCGCGGUAACAC